rnacentral:rRNA from 1 species
GACGAACCGUGCUAACGUUGUUCGGAAUCACUGGGCUUAAAGGGCGCGUAGGCGGGCACGGUAAGUCAGGGGUGAAAGCCCACGGCUCAACCGUGGAAGGGCCUUUGAUACUGCGUGUCUGGAGGGAGGUAGGGCGUGCGGAACUUCCGGUGGAGCGGUGAAAUGACGUAGAUAUCGGAAGGAACACCGGUGGCGAAAGCGGCGCGCUGGACCUCUUCUGACGCUGAGGCGCGAAAGCCAGGGGAGCCAAAGCGGG